AGGUUUAUAGUUAAAUAUAACAUUUGAUUUGCAGUCAAAAAGUAUUGAUCAUCAAUUAUUCUUA
rnacentral:tRNA from 1 species